rnacentral:lncRNA from 1 species
GACUGGAAAGCGGUUGGUCUUUCAUUCGGGAGAAGCUGGAGAGAGAAGCUUAUUACUAUUAAAACUUCUAUGGAGAUCACAUGAAGAGGGAAGCGGAGGAUCUUUUUAUGUGUAAUAUUUGUAUGGAGCCACCAUAUGUGAAGCUCGGAUGGAAAGAUUCUGACAGAGAGGAUUGGUCGCUAGGUGACGGUUUUGUGGGCACAAAGCAACUCAUGGAUACCGUCUAUUGCACAUGGUUGGACCAUGGAGAGAGCUGUUAUCUGCAUCCAUAGAGUGAGUAGCCAGGCCAGUCAAACCAUAAAUCCUUGAAAUUAAAAAACAAACAAAUAAAGAAACAAACAAAAAUCUAUGGGGUAUCCA